rnacentral:rRNA from 1 species
GACGAACGCUGGCGGCGUGCUUAACACAUGCAAGUCGAACGGAAAGGCCCUGCUUUUGUGGGGUGCUCGAGUGGCGAACGGGUGAGUAACACGUGAGUAACCUGCCCUUGACUUUGGGAUAACUUCAGGAAACUGGGGCUAAUACCGGAUAGGAGCUCCUGCUGCAUGGUGGGGGUUGGAAAGUUUCGGCGGUUGGGUAUGGACUCGCGGCUUAUCAGCUUGUUGGUGGGGUAGUGGCUUACCAAGGCUUUAACGGGUAGCCGGCCUGCGAGGGUGACCGGCCACAUUGGGACUGAGAUACGGCCCAGACUGCUACGGGAGGCAGCAGUGGGGAAUAUUGCACAAUGGGCGGAAGCCUGAUGCAGCAAAGCCGCGUGCGGGAUGACGGCCUUCGGGUUGUAAACCGCUUUCGACUGUGACGAAGCGUGAGUGACGGUAAUGGGUAAAGAAGCACCGGCUAACUACGUG